AGUUGUGUUUACGCAUAGUGUUGUUGCAUGCUGAAGUGUCGUUGUGUGGAAAGCGGGUGGCGGGGCAGGGAGUGUAAUGAUUAGCAAGCACUAGCUACGCGCUAAUGGCGAGCAUAAAUCGGAAAUGCCAUAUACACGUUGUGAAAAGUGCAAUCUGCUGAUCGCAGAAGAAAGAUUGUGAAACUAUAUAUAAAUAUAUAUAUGGUGUACAGCGCAAUAAAAGAAUAAUACACCGAGCAGACAUGCAACUUCUCUAAAACAAAAGUCGACAAAAAGUCGGGGAAUCCGUGGCAAAAUGUAGCG
rnacentral:lncRNA from 1 species